CCUGUUUCCAAGACAUCUUUAGGCACAAACCCCCUGACCUUUACUCUCGGGCCCACUGGCAACUGGCCCCUUCACAAUCUCCCACAGGGGCUCAACUUAGGCUCACAGCUCCAGUUCAGAAAAAGAGAAGACCUUUUGUGAGGGGACAGAGGUCUCCAGUGCCAUGGCUCCUCUUUGUCCUGAUAAGGCUUCCACUGGGCCCAGGCAGCUCUGGGCUGGAGUCACCUAUGAGCACUGAGGCUACAGGAUAUCAGGACCACUGGUUGAUGUGAUGGAGCCAUUCGACUUCAUGAGGCUUUGCAGGGGCUGCUGUCCAGUGGUGACGGCGUGACAAUGAAAGAAGUCUGGACUCUGACUAAAGAAACAUUCCUCCACGGGGCUGGUGUUGUCUUUCACCGUUGCAUCAAUGAUGCUGCUGUUUUCUUUCUUCAUGCUUCCUACUAAAUGGACUUCCUGCUGUUUCUCUAGAAUACAGGCUUCUGAAAAGUCUGUUUCCUGGGAAAAGUCCCUCUGAAGUUCAAAUGAUGUAUUGUGUUUUUCUUUAUAUAUUUCCUUUGUCAA